AUUUUAACUCAUUGAGCAUUCCUUUUCCAUUUUAUUUCUUGGCUUUUUUUCAUAGUAACCAAGUGCAAGGAUUGUAGGUUAAAAUACAAGCCACAGUCUGGGAGUGUCCAGUCAGUUCAUGACAGGAGUCAGAGAGGGGCCCAGAAACCAAAGGCAAAAUUAUCAAAUGUAUUCAUUCAUCUUCAACCACUCCCACAUUAAUUAAAAAUAUACAACUAAGUAGAUAUUUGGCUAUUUUGUUUUUUUAAAUUGUUUUAUUCCUCUAUUUUACAUUUAACACGGAUAAUAUUAAUAAUAAGAGCUAACAUUAAUUGAGCACUUACUAUGUAACAUGUCUUGUGUUAAGCAUUGAUUCAAAUAUUACCUCAUAUAAUCAUCAUUGCACUUUGUUACUUUGUUGUAUUUUAUGUCUCUCUCCCAGGAAAGAAUGCCAAGAAAGAGGUAACUGUUCAGAGGGAACUGGAUCUAAUGUGGAAGUGGACAGGGAGGACCCUCAGCUGCCAGUUUGGCUUAAAAGUGACCCAUGCCAAUUCUGCUCACAAUCUAUUGGCCAGAGCUAGUCACGUGUCCUGCUAUAUUUAAAGAAGGCUGGGAAAUAGAGUGGCAAGUGAAAAUUUGGUUUGAGAGAGCAUCAUGGAAUUCCUUCCAAGGAUGCAAGAGGAAGAAGAAUCUCUUUCAAUUUCCAGUAGAAUUCAUUGCAGUGAGUUUAUGCCAACAAUUGAUCCCAGCACCUGUGUGCAGGACCUGCUGCUUUUGGAACCCAACUGCCAUGAUGUGAGAAGCCCAAGUCACAUGGAGAAGCUCUACCUAUACUCCCUGCCAACAGCCAACAUCAAUUGCUAGUCAUGGGAGUGAGCCAUCUUGGCCAUCCAGCCCAACUGAGGAUGACUGCAACUGCCUGAGAGAUCCCACACAACUCACAGAAAUGUUCAGUCAACUCACAGAAAUGCGAGAGACAAUAUUAAAUUUAAGUUUUCAGGUGGUUUGUUAUACAGCUGUAGGUAACAGGGAUUUUAAAAAUACCAAUUUUAUUCAUUCAAACAGGUCUUUUAUCUUUCUGUUAGUCUUAUAAGGGAAAUUCUGCUUUCUGUUUUCUCUAUUUUGCUCCUG
rnacentral:lncRNA from 1 species